rnacentral:rRNA from 1 species
UACAGAGGGUGCGAGCGUUAAUCGGAAUUACUGGGCGUAAAGCGUGCGUAGCCGGUUAUUUAAGUCGGGUGUGAAAUCCCCAGGCUUAACCUGGGAACUGCAUUCGAGACUGCAUUGCUAGAGUAUGGGAGAGGGAAGUGGAAUUUCCGGUGUAGCGGUGAAAUGCGUAGAUAUCGGAAGGAACAUCAGUGGCGAAAGCGACUUCCUGGACCAAUACUGACGCUCAUGUGCGAAAGCGUGGGGAGCAAACAGG